rnacentral:rRNA from 1 species
GACGAACGCUGGCGGCGUGCUUAACACAUGCAAGUCGAACGGAGACUUGUGGAUAGAGGCUUCGGCCAAUUGAAACAAGUCUUAGUGGCGGACUGGUGAGUAACGCGUGAGGAACCUGCCUUUCAGAGGGGGACAACAGUUGGAAACGACUGCUAAUACCGCAUGACACAUGACUGGGGCAUCCCGGACAUGUCAAAGAUUUUAUCGCUGAAAGAUGGCCUCGCGUCUGAUUAGAUAGUUGGUGGGGUAACGGCUCACCAAGUCUACGAUCAGUAGCCGGACUGAGAGGUCGAUCGGCCACAUUGGGACUGAGACACGGCCCAGACUCCUACGGGAGGCAGCAGGUGGGGGAUAUUGGUCAAUGGGGGAAACCCUGAACCAGCGACGCCGCGUGAGGGAAGAAGGUUAUUUGAUUGUAAACCUCUGUCGUCAGGGAAGAAAAUGACGGUACCUGACAAGGAAGCACCGGCUAACUACGUG